UAAUAUGGGAUUUUGGCUUAAAAUUGAAUGUAUUUGGCUGAAACAUUUUCAGCCUAUUUUCUUCUCCAAAGAAGAGAUAUUCAUCCUUGUUGGCGAAUAAUCCUUUCCUCAUUCCUGCAAAUUUGAUGCACGAGAAAAUAUGUCAGAAUUCAAGGGGAUCUGGACUUGUGCUAUAUUCAUCAUCUAAAUUAGAUAUUUCUACAUUUUGCAAGGACUUUCUUUGUUUUCGCACUUCAGAUAUGUAUGGAACAUUAUCUUGAUAAGGAAUAAAUGUUACCCCCUCUUCAUGUAUGAUUGUGGUUUGUAAAGAUUGUUGUAAAAAUCUUAACCCUAUUAUCAUGUCAUCAUUUAUUA